rnacentral:rRNA from 1 species
GACGAACGCUGGCUGCGUGCUUAACACAUGCAAGUCGAACGUUAAGUCCCUGCUUUUGUGGGGUGCUCGAGUGGCGUCCUGGUUAGUAACACGUGAUUACCCUCCCCUUGACUUUGGGGUAACUUCAGGAAACUCGGGCUAAUACCGGAUAGGAGCUCCUGCUGCGUGGUGGGGGUUGGAAAGUUUCGGCGGUUGGGGAUGGACUCGCGGCUUAUCAGUUUGUUGUUGGGGUAGUUGCUUACCAAGGCUUUUACGGGUAGCCGGCCUGCGUGGGUGACCGGCCACAUUGGGACUGAGAUACGGCCCAGAAUCCUACGGGAGGCAACAGUGGGGAAUAUUGCAAAAAGGGCGGAAGCCUGAUGCAGCAACGACGCGGGGGGGAUGAAGGCCUUCGGGUUGUAAAACGCUUUCGCCUGUGACGAAGCGUGAGUGACGGUAAUGGGUAAAGAAGCACCGGCUAACUACGUG